CGUAUGUUACUAAUACUGUAGGUUACGAAGGGACUAUUGAGAGGGCUUAUUGUAGUUGCUGAUUACUGGUCAUGUGACUAUUGAGAGAGAUUAUUUGAAUGUUAUCCAAAAGACAACACAGGAUAUCCAUGUAUGUUGAUGAUGAUGAUGAUGAGGGUAGGAGCCGGUCUCUUGUCAAGUAAAAGGUGGUCGCUAAUUAUGAUUGUACAAUUGCAUCAUGUUUAUUAAUGGGCUGUGAGUAGAUAACCAAAAGAUUACCUUAUCAUCCGUGUAACAAGAAAUACGCAAAAGUUAGAACAUGGACGUGUUAUCAAGUGAAACUCUAUGCACCGAUCAAAAGUGGUAUGCUAUCACCAGAGGUGGUCAUUAUAAGAAAUCUUGAUCCUGAAGCUGUAGUCAGUGGUAGGGAUGCUUUGAGUAAGAUAUUCUACUCUCGCUUUUUUGACUGCUGAGUACAAUUCUAAAGCUUCAAGUCUGAAAACAAGAUUGAAGUGUAUGAGCUUUUCAAGGACAUGUGCAAGUGGUUAGGGUCAUUAGAAAUUGGAUGCUCUAGCACUAUUGUUGUAAGUAUUCAUUGUUUGAGAACAAGUCUGUAUGUUUAACCUUUUAAUCUAAUUGCUUCACUGAAGACCUACAAUGUAUGUAGUUGAUAAGGUCAUUGAUAACAAUAG